rnacentral:rRNA from 1 species
AAUGGGCGCAAGCCUGACGGAGCAAUACCGCGUGAGGGAGGAAGGCUUUUGGGUCGUAAACCUCUUUUAUUGGGGAAGAAGCACUGACGGUACCCAAUGAAUCAGCAUCGGCUAACUCCGUGCCAGCAGCCGCGGUAAUACGGAGGAUGCAAGCGUUAUCCGGAAUUAUUGGGCGUAAAGCGUCCGCAGGUGGUUAAUCAAGUCUGCUGUUAAAGCGUGCGGCUUAACCGCAUAUCGGCAGUGGAAACUGGUUGACUAGAGUUCGGUAGGGGUCACGGGAAUUCCCAGUGUAGCGGUGAAAUGCGUAGAUAUUGGGAAGAACACCAGCGGCGAAAGCGCGUGACUGGGCCUGAACUGACACUGAGGGACGAAAGCUAGGGGAGCG